rnacentral:rRNA from 1 species
CCUACGGGAGGCAGCAGUGGGGAAUAUUGGGCAAUGGGCGCAAGCCUGACCCAGCAACGCCGCGUGAAGGAAGAAGGCUUUCGGGUUGUAAACUUCUUUUCUGAGGGACGAAGUAAGUGACGGUACCUCAGGAAUAAGCCACGGCUAACUACGUGCCAGCAGCCGCGGUAAUACGUAGGUGGCAAGCGUUAUCCGGAUUUAUUGGGGGUAAAGGGCGAGUAGGCGGGAAAGGAAGUCAGAUGUGAAAACUCAGGGCUCAACCCUGAGGCUGCAUUUGAAACUUUUUUUCUUGAGUGCUGGAGAGGGAAACGGAAUUCCGUGUGUAGCGGUGAAAUGCGUAGAUAUACGGAGGAACACCAGUGGCGAAAGCGGAUUUCUGGACAAUAAAUGAAGCUGAGGCGCGAAAGCCUGGGGAGCAAACAGGAUUAGAUACCCCAGUAGUC